rnacentral:misc_RNA from 1 species
UUCCGGUUGGUGAUCUUUCUCUUUAGUCCCAGUUUUUGCUACCAACCGGGACUAAAGAUUUAUCUUUAGUCCCGGUUAUUUCAACCGGGACUAAAGAUAAGCAUCUUUAGUCCUGGAUUCCUACUCCCGGUUGAAAACCCGAGACUAAGGGGGGUUACCAACCGGGAGUAAAAAAG